GUAGGGUGCAGAUUUGUUCAUCAGUUGAAAGUUACUCGGGUCACAUCUGAAGGCGGCUCUAGGUCACCCUAGAGGCCUAGGCUGGCUGUCUUCAGCACGGUGGUGCCCAAGCCAACCCUGUGACUGACAUGUACGAUUCACUCCUUUGAGUCUUUGGAUGCCAACUCAGCCCCCUGACCUGGAGGCAGCCGGCCAAGGCCUCUAGGGAAGAGCCCCCCACUGCAGACAUGACCCGAGUAACUUUCUGCUGAUGAACAAAUCUGCACCCCACUUCAGACCUCGGUGGGCAUUCACACCACCCCCCAUGCCACCGGCUCCACUUUCCCCUUUUAUUAAUACAUUCACCCAGAUAAUCAUUAAAAUUAACAUGUGCCAGGUCUUAGGAUGUGUCUUGGGGUGGGCACAGUACCCGGUGACUCUUGGGGAUAUUUAUUUAUUUUCCCUGAGCCUAUAUCUUCAUCUGUGAAAUGGGGAUAAAAAUACUUGUUGCUGUCAC
rnacentral:lncRNA from 10 species